UCAUAUUCACAUAUAACACAAAAACAAUUAACUACAAAAGUGGUCCCUUUGUGGAAAAGGUUUCAAUUCUGGACUAAACACGAUAAAAAUCCAAAACGAAGGGAAGAUUUUUGUAAAUUCAUAAGAAAAUUUAUUCUAUUUCUAUAAACCAACCAAACAUAACGAAUCUUUCCAUUCCUACAUGUGUACGGAUGUUUCUAAUGUUUCUUGGUUUCGAAGAAAUUUUGCACAAGUAAAAUGUACCAGUGCCUACAAUAACCUUCUCAUGGCAUGUUAGUUUUAUAUAAUUUUCUUUUUAAUUCUUAUUGUGUUUUACUAAACUUUUUCCAUUUUACAAAGUGUUGAAGAAGCAGAGUGUGAAAGGGCAUAUGGGUUGGCUAGUGAUCUCUAUGUGUCAAUCUUUGAUCGUACAAAGGCCACCUGAGUUGCAAUGAGAGAAGCACAUGAAGAGGUUGUGCAAAAGGCGAUGUCCAUUUUUAACGCCAUUUCAGUGGGAUUUGGUUCUGCUAGACAAAAAUACGAAAAAAAAUUCAUAUGUUUUUGAAAAAGGCUUUUGAGGAUCAUAAAAAGAAAGACUUAUGUCUCAAACCAAAUUACCUUAGUUGAGAUGCAACACGGACAAUAUGAGGAUAUUCAACAGAAAAAU